AGUGAACGCUGGCGGCGUGCCUAAUACAUGCAAGUCGAACGGAGUGGCGCACGGGUGAGUAAUAUAUAGCUAAUCUGCCCCUUGCUGGAGGACAACCGUUAGAAAUGACUGCUAAUACUCCAUAGCAAGGGAUGAGACUAUAUCGUAUCAGUUCGUCGGUGGGUUAACGGCCUACCGGGGCUAUGAAGAGUGACUGGUCUGAGAGGAUGAUCAGUCACAUUGAAACUGAGAAACUGUCCAAACGCCUACGGGAGGAAGCAGUAGGGAAGAAUGCUCAAUGGGGGAAACCCUGACGCAGCAACGACGCGUGGAGGAUGACACUUUUCGGAGCGUAAACUCCUUUUGUAAGGGAAGCGGUACCUAACGAAUAAGCACCGGCUAACUCCGUGCCAGCAGCCGCGGUAAUUC
rnacentral:rRNA from 1 species